rnacentral:rRNA from 1 species
UCUAUGCCGUAAACUUUGUACACUUGGUGUCGGGGGUCAAACCUCGGUACCGAAGCUAACGCGAUAAGUGUACCGCCUGGGGAGUAUGCCGGCAACGGUGAAACUCAAAGGAAUUGACGGGGGCCCGCACAAGCGGUGGAGCAUGUGGUUUAAUUCGAUACGCGAGGAACCUUACCAGGGUUUGACAUAUUAGUGACCGUUUUAGAGAUAAGAUUUUCCCUUCGGGGACG